rnacentral:rRNA from 1 species
GAUGAACGCUAGCUACAGGCUUAACACAUGCAAGUCGCGGGGUCUGUUUCUGCAGACGACCGGCGCACGGGUGAGUAACGCGUAUCCAACCUGCCCCUCUCUUUGGCAUAGCCUUUCGAAAGAGAGAUUAAUUCCGAAUAACGUAGUAACGUUGCCUGAUGAUACUACGAAAGCUCUGGCGGAGAGGGAUGGGGAUGCGUUCCAUUAGGUAGUAGGCGGGGUAACGGCCACCUAGCCAACGAUGGGAUAGGGGUUCUGAGAGGAAGGUCCCCCCACAUUGGAACUGAGACACGGUCCAAACUCCUACGGGAGGCAGCAGUGAGGAAUAUUGGUCAAUGGACGGAAGUCUGAACCAGCCAAGUAGCGUGAAGGAUGACUGCCCUAUGGGUUGAAACUUCUUUUGCGUGGAACAAUAAGGUCUACGUGUAGACUGAUGAGAGUACCUCGCGAAUAAGCAUCGGCUAAACUCCGUG